GCAGUCGCCGCGGUAAUACGUAGGUGGCAAGCGUUGUCCGGAAUUAUUGGGCGUAAAGGGCUCGCAGGCGGUUUCUUAAGUCUGAUGUGAAAGCCCCCGGCUCAACCGGGGAGGGUCAUUGGAAACUGGGAAACUUGAGUGCAGAAGAGGAGAGUGGAAUUCCACGUGUAGCGGUGAAAUGCGUAGAGAUGUGGAGGAACACCAGUGGCGAAGGCGACUCUCUGGUCUGUAACUGACGCUGAGGAGCGAAAGCGUGGGGAGCGAACAGGAUUAGAUACCCCCGUAGUCCCUGUCUCUUAUAC
rnacentral:rRNA from 1 species